rnacentral:rRNA from 1 species
UUAAGCGACUAAGCGUACACGGUGGAUGCCCUGGCAGUCAGAGGCGAUGAAGGACGUGCUAAUCUGCGAUAAGCGUCGGUAAGGUGAUAUGAACCGUUAUAACCGGCGAUUUCCGAAUGGGGAAACCCAGUGUGAUUCGUCACACUAUCAUUAACUGAAUCCAUAGGUUAAUGAGGCGAACCGGGGGAACUGAAACAUCUAAGUACCCCGAGGAAAAGAAAUCAACCGAGAUUCCCCCAGUAGCGGCGAGCGAACGGGGAGCAGCCCAGAGCCUGAAUCAGUGUGUGUGUUAGUGGAAGCGUCUGGAAAGGCGCGCGAUACAGGGUGACAGCCCCGUACACAAAAAUGCACAUGCUGUGAGCUCGAUGAGUAGGGCGGGACACGUGGUAUCCUGUCUGAAUAUGGGGGGACCAUCCUCCAAGGCUAAAUACUCCUGACUGACCGAUAGUGAACCAGUACCGUGAGGGAAAGGCGAAAAGAACCCCGGCGAGGGGAGUGAAAAAGAACCUGAAACCGUGUACGUACAAGCAGUGGGAGCACGCUUAGGCGUGUGACUGCGUACCUUUUGUAUAAUGGGUCAGCGACUUAUAUUCUGUAGCAAGGUUAACCGAAUAGGGGAGCCGAAGGGAAACCGAGUCUUAACUGGGCGUUAAGUUGCAGGGUAUAGACCCGAAACCCGGUGAUCUAGCCAUGGGCAGGUUGAAGGUUGGGUAACACUAACUGGAGGACCGAACCGACUAAUGUUGAAAAAUUAGCGGAUGACUUGUGGCUGGGGGUGAAAGGCCAAUCAAACCGGGAGAUAGCUGGUUCUCCCCGAAAGCUAUUUAGGUAGCGCCUCGUGAAUUCAUCUCCGGGGGUAGAGCACUGUUUCGGCAAGGGGGUCAUCCCGACUUACCAACCCGAUGCAAACUGCGAAUACCGGAGAAUGUUAUCACGGGAGACACACGGCGGGUGCUAACGUCCGUCGUGAAGAGGGAAACAACCCAGACCGCCAGCUAAGGUCCCAAAGUCAUGGUUAAGUGGGAAACGAUGUGGGAAGGCCCAGACAGCCAGGAUGUUGGCUUAGAAGCAGCCAUCAUUUAAAGAAAGCGUAAUAGCUCACUGGUCGAGUCGGCCUGCGCGGAAGAUGUAACGGGGCUAAACCAUGCACCGAAGCUGCGGCAGCGACGCUUAUGCGUUGUUGGGUAGGGGAGCGUUCUGUAAGCCUGCGAAGGUGUGCUGUGAGGCAUGCUGGAGGUAUCAGAAGUGCGAAUGCUGACAUAAGUAACGAUAAAGCGGGUGAAAAGCCCGCUCGCCGGAAGACCAAGGGUUCCUGUCCAACGUUAAUCGGGGCAGGGUGAGUCGACCCCUAAGGCGAGGCCGAAAGGCGUAGUCGAUGGGAAACAGGUUAAUAUUCCUGUACUUGGUGUUACUGCGAAGGGGGGACGGAGAAGGCUAUGUUGGCCGGGCGACGGUUGUCCCGGUUUAAGCGUGUAGGCUGGUUUUCCAGGCAAAUCCGGAAAAUCAAGGCUGAGGCGUGAUGACGAGGCACUACGGUGCUGAAGCAACAAAUGCCCUGCUUCCAGGAAAAGCCUCUAAGCAUCAGGUAACAUCAAAUCGUACCCCAAACCGACACAGGUGGUCAGGUAGAGAAUACCAAGGCGCUUGAGAGAACUCGGGUGAAGGAACUAGGCAAAAUGGUGCCGUAACUUCGGGAGAAGGCACGCUGAUAUGUAGGUGAAGUCCCUCGCGGAUGGAGCUGAAAUCAGUCGAAGAUACCAGCUGGCUGCAACUGUUUAUUAAAAACACAGCACUGUGCAAACACGAAAGUGGACGUAUACGGUGUGACGCCUGCCCGGUGCCGGAAGGUUAAUUGAUGGGGUUAGCGGUAACGCGAAGCUCUUGAUCGAAGCCCCGGUAAACGGCGGCCGUAACUAUAACGGUCCUAAGGUAGCGAAAUUCCUUGUCGGGUAAGUUCCGACCUGCACGAAUGGCGUAAUGAUGGCCAGGCUGUCUCCACCCGAGACUCAGUGAAAUUGAACUCGCUGUGAAGAUGCAGUGUACCCGCGGCAAGACGGAAAGACCCCGUGAACCUUUACUAUAGCUUGACACUGAACAUUGAGCCUUGAUGUGUAGGAUAGGUGGGAGGCUUUGAAGUGUGGACGCCAGUCUGCAUGGAGCCGACCUUGAAAUACCACCCUUUAAUGUUUGAUGUUCUAACGUUGACCCGUAAUCCGGGUUGCGGACAGUGUCUGGUGGGUAGUUUGACUGGGGCGGUCUCCUCCUAAAGAGUAACGGAGGAGCACGAAGGUUGGCUAAUCCUGGUCGGACAUCAGGAGGUUAGUGCAAUGGCAUAAGCCAGCUUGACUGCGAGCGUGACGGCGCGAGCAGGUGCGAAAGCAGGUCAUAGUGAUCCGGUGGUUCUGAAUGGAAGGGCCAUCGCUCAACGGAUAAAAGGUACUCCGGGGAUAACAGGCUGAUACCGCCCAAGAGUUCAUAUCGACGGCGGUGUUUGGCACCUCGAUGUCGGCUCAUCACAUCCUGGGGCUGAAGUAGGUCCCAAGGGUAUGGCUGUUCGCCAUUUAAAGUGGUACGCGAGCUGGGUUUAGAACGUCGUGAGACAGUUCGGUCCCUAUCUGCCGUGGGCGCUGGAGAACUGAGGGGGGCUGCUCCUAGUACGAGAGGACCGGAGUGGACGCAUCACUGGUGUUCGGGUUGUCAUGCCAAUGGCACUGCCCGGUAGCUAAAUGCGGAAGAGAUAAGUGCUGAAAGCAUCUAAGCACGAAACUUGCCCCGAGAUGAGUUCUCCCUGACUCCCUGAGAGUCCUGAAGGAACGUUGAAGACGACGACGUUGAUAGGCCGGGUGUGUAAGCGCAGCGAUGCGUUGAGCUAACCGGUACUAAUGAACCGUGAGGCUUAACCUU